rnacentral:rRNA from 1 species
CUAAGCCAUGCGAGUCAAAUGUUCUUCGUGAACAUGGCGUACUGCUCAGUAACACGUGGAUAACCUGCCCUUAGGACUGGCAUAACCCCGGGAAACUGGGGAUAAUUCCGGAUAGUUCAUGGUAGCUGGAAUGCUCCAUGAUCGAAAGCUACUGCGCCUAAGGAUGGGUCUGCGGUCUAUCAGGUAGUAGUGGGUGUAAUGUACCUACUAGCCGACGACGGAUACGGGUUGUGGGAGCAAGAGCCCGGAGAUGGAUUCUGAGACAUGAAUCCAGGCCCUACGGGGCGCAGCAGGCGCGAAAACUUUACAAUGCGGGAAACCGCGAUAAGGGGACACCGAGUGCCAGCAUCUUAUGUUGGCUGUCCGCAUGUAUAAAUCACAUGUGUUAGCAAGGGCCGGGCAAGACCGGUGCCAGCCGCCGCGGUAACACCGGCGGCCCGAGUGGUGGCCACUAUUAUUGGGUCUAAAGGGUCCGUAGCCGGUUUGGUCAGUCUUCCGGGAAGUCUGACGGCUUAACCGUUAGGCUUUCGGGGGAUACUACCAGGCUUGGGACCGGGAGAGGUAAGAGGUACUACGGGGGUAGGAGUGAAAUCUUGUAAUCCUCGUGGGACCACCAGUGGCGAAGGCGUCUUACCAGAACGGGUCCGACGGUGAGGGACGAAAGCUGGGGGCACGAACCGGAUUAGAUACCCGGGUAGUCCCAGCCGUAAACUAUGCUCGCUAGGUGUCAGGGACGGUGCGACCGUUUCUGGUGCCGCAGGGAAGCCGAGAAGCGAGCCACCUGGGAAGUACGGUCGCAAGGCUGAAACUUAAAGGAAUUGGCGGGGGAGCACUACAACGGGUGGAGCCUGCGGUUUAAUUGGACUCAACGCCGGAAAACUCACCGGGGGCGACAGCAAUAUGUAGG